UCUGGGUUUAUCCCAGCGGUCCCGUCAGAAAAGUAUAACUGACGGCGAGGGUUGCGCUCGUUGCGGGACUUAACCCAACACCUCACGGCACGAGCUGACGACAGCCAUGCAGCACCUGUGUGCAGGUCCCCGAAGGGAAGGAAUCCAUCUCUGGAAACCGUCCUGCCAUGUCAAGGGCUGGUAAGGUUCUUCGCGUUGCGUCGAAUUAAACCACAUGCUCCACCGCUUGUGCGGGCCCCCGUCAAUUCCUUUGAGUUUCAGCCUUGCGGCCGUACUCCCCAGGCGGGAUGCUUAAAGCGUUAGCUGCGGCACGGAGGGGGUCGACACCCCCCACACCUAGCAUCCACCGUUUAGGGCGUGGACUAC
rnacentral:misc_RNA from 1 species